rnacentral:rRNA from 1 species
UUCCAGACUCCUACGGGAGGCAGCAGUGGGGAAUAUUGCACAAUGGGGGAAACCCUGAUGCAGCGACGCCGCGUGAGCGAAGAAGUAUUUCGGUAUGUAAAGCUCUAUCAGCAGGGAAGAAAAAAAUGACGGUACCUGAGUAAGAAGCACCGGCUAAAUACGUGCCAGCAGCCGCGGUAAUACGUAUGGUGCAAGCGUUAUCCGGAUUUACUGGGUGUAAAGGGAGCGUAGACGGCAGCGCAAGUCUGGAGUGAAAUGCCGGGGCCCAACCCCGGAACUGCUUUGGAAACUGUGCAGCUAGAGUGCGGGAGAGGUAAGCGGAAUUCCUAGUGUAGCGGUGGAAUGCGUAGAUAUUAGGGGGAACACCAGUGGCGAAGGCGGCUUACUGGACCGUAACUGACGUUGAGGCUCGAAAGCGUGGGGAGCAAACAGGAUUAGAUACCCGUGUAA